AGUCGAGGGGCAGCAUGGUCUUAGCUUGCUAAGGCCGAUGGCGACCGGCGCACGGGUGAGUAACACGUAUCCAACCUGCCGUCUACUCUUGGACAGCCUUCUGAAAGGAAGAUUAAUACAAGAUGGCAUCAUGAGUCCGCAUGUUCACAUGAUUAAAGGUAUUCCGGUAGACGAUGGGGAUGCGUUCCAUUAGAUAGUAGGCGGGGUAACGGCCCACCUAGUCUUCGAUGGAUAGGGGUUCUGAGAGGAAGGUCCCCCACAUUGGAACUGAGACACGGUCCAAACUCCUACGGGAGGCAGCAGUGAGGAAUAUUGGUCAAUGGGCGAGAGCCUGAACCAGCCAAGUAGCGUGAAGGAUGACUGCCCUAUGGGUUGUAAACUUCUUUUAUAAAGGAAUAAAGUCGGGUAUGGAUACCCGUUUGCAUGUACUUUAUGAAUAAGGAUCGGCUAACUCCGUGCCAGCAGCCGCGGUAAUACGGAGGAUCCGAGCGUUAUCCGGAUUUAUUGGGUUUAAAGGGAGCGUAGAUGGAUGUUUAAGUCAGUUGUGAAAGUUUGCGGCUCAACCGUAAAAUUGCAGUUGAUACUGGAUAUCUUGAGUGCAGUUGAGGCAGGCGGAAUUCGUGGUGUAGCGGUGAAAUGCUUAGAUAUCACGAAGAACUCCGAUUGCGAAGGCAGCCUGCUAAGCUGCAACUGACAUUGAGGCUCGAAAGUGUGGGUAUCAAACAGGAUUAGAUACCCUGGUAGUCCACACGGUAAACGAUGAAUACUCGCUGUUUGCGAUAUACUGCAAGCGGCCAAGCGAAAGCGUUAAGUAUUCCACCU
rnacentral:rRNA from 1 species